AGCUUGUCCGGAUCGACGGCCCGUGAGGUGAGCAGAUAGUCGCGCAUCACGAUGCCGUGCCGGCCCUC
rnacentral:sRNA from 1 species